rnacentral:lncRNA from 1 species
CCUGGCUAUGCUGGAAAGUCAGACCUUAUCUGCACUUCUGACUGGUGUCUGUUCUAGGCUCCACACCUGAUGUCAAAUUCCAGCAGAACAGCUGAUGCUAACCAGUUUGAAGACCCCCAGAGAGGAACAGAAUCAGCAUGAGAAUACAGCUUCUUCUUCAACCUGUCCCAUGACUUCACCCUGCACUCUAACCAAUGAAUGAUAUCUACACUUUGGCCCACUUCAAAACCUUUAAACGCCCUAACCCCACAAAUCCCUUAGGGAGUCAGAUUUGAGGUUUCCUCAUGUCUCGUCAUCUAGUGGCCCUACAAAUAAACCUCUUUCUCUACUGCAACCCAGUGUCUGUGCAUAUUGACUUGCUGUGGACAUGAGGCAAUAAACCUAUGACGGCUGCAUGCAUAAGCUUCUGUAUAAUGCUGCAAAAUGAAGAAAAAGUUUUGGUGGAUGCAGAAUGCAUGGCUCACAAUGGAACAAUCACAUGGCUAUACAUGAUCCAGA